rnacentral:rRNA from 1 species
AUUGAACGCUGGCGGCAGGCCUAACACAUGCAAGUCGAGCGGCAGCACGGGAGCUUGCUCCUGGUGGCGAGCGGCGGACGGGUGAGUAAUGCCUAGGAAUCUGCCUGUUAGUGGGGGAUAACUCGGGGAGACUCGAGCUAAUACCGCAUACGUCCUACGGGAGAAAGUGGGGGACCUUCGGGCCUCACGCUAACAGAUGAGCCUAGGUCGGAUUAGCUAGUUGGUGGGGUAAAGGCCUACCAAGGCGACGAUCCGUAGCUGGUCUGAGAGGAUGAUCAGCCACACUGGAACUGAGACACGGUCCAGACUCCUACGGGAGGCAGCAGUGGGGAAUAUUGGACAAUGGGCGCAAGCCUGAUCCAGCCAUGCCGCGUGUGUGAAGAAGGUCUUCGGAUUGUAAAGCACUUUAAGUUGGGAGGAAGGGCUGUUACCUAAUACGUGACAGUUUUGACGUUACCAACAGAAUAAGCACCGGCUAACUUCGUG